ACCUUACAGAGAUUGUGGAGAAAUGCCCAAGGCAAUACUUUCCGGAACCGUUCAAGUGUCUAGAUUUUUUAUUCAACCGAUAAGGACCUCCGAACCUGCCAGAGAACUCAACCACCUCAUGGCUGACCAAAUCGUGCUUGCAUUGAUUGUUGGCUUCAGUAGGGUCUCCAAGGCUAUCAACCACUGAAGGAAGGACGCCAUCGCGAAAGCAUCCUCUGUGACUGUGGAAAUAGUCCGGAAGAGGUAUGGAGAGUAGGCGGGGCAGGCGACCGUGGAGCUGCUGGAAGCUGCACGGCAUGCCGGAGAAGCAGCAUGGGCGAUCUUCAAGAUCAGAAAUGCAAUAUUUUCUGAUGAGAAGCUGAACCCUGCAGCUUGUUGAGUUCUAUUGCCAUUUCAUCCAUCAUUGUUUGAGUAUUUCGCAAAUCCACCUGGACUGUUCUGUAAGCAACAACCCAAAUCGAGCAAGACUUUCCUCUCCGAGUUUAGGGAGGCCGCUAGACUAGAUUUUACAAAUCAAUUUGGCAGUUAUUUUCUUUCCUAGCCUGUGCUGAGGUCACAAGUAGCCACAUCUUAAUAUGCUGGUAACCUUUUCGGCUACUCCGGUUUCUGAUUCCGCUUGCCGCCACCAAGCUAAUCAAUGUCAACUCCCUUGUAUCUUCUCCACAUUUUCUCAGAGUGGUAGCUGUAAGGAUUUCGUUACCCAUUACAAGCUUGGCAUUUCUGUGGUGGCA